rnacentral:tRNA from 1 species
GGGGGCGUAGCUCAGUUGGGAGAGCAUUCGCUUUGCAAGCGAAAGGUCACCGGUUCGAGCCCGGUCGCCUCCACCA